CCUACGGGAGGCAGCAGUGAGGAAUAUUGGUCAAUGGGCUUACGCCUGAACCAGCCAAGUCGCGUGAGGGAAGACUGCCCUAUGGGUUGUAAACUUCUUUUGUCAGGGAGCAAUGUGCGCUACGUGUAGCGUUAUCUAGAGUACCUGAAGAAAAAGCAUCGGCUAACUCCGUGCCAGCAGCGGCGGUAAUACGGGGGAUGCGAGCGUUAUCCGGAUUUAUGGGGUUUAAGGGGUGCUUGGGGGGAAUGCCAAGUCAGCGGUAAAAUCGCGGGGCUAAACCUCGAACCGCAGUUGAAACUGGCGGUCUUGAGUGGGCGAGAGGUAGGCGGAAUGCGUGGUGUAGCGGUGAAAUGCAUAGAUAUCACGCAGAACUCCGAUUGCGAAUGCAGCAUACCGGAGCCCAACUGACGCUGAAGCACGAAAGCGUGGGUAUCGAACAGGAUUAGAUACCCUUGUAGUC
rnacentral:rRNA from 1 species